GCAGAGGUUUAGAACUUUUUUAAUCAACAUUUAGGGUUAAUGCUAGUAUUAUAGAACUUCAGAAUUUUAGAUUAUUAAGCACUCUAUGUCCCUGCUUUUCCUCUUUAUAGUAGGGAUUGAUAAUUUCAUACAUGUUUUUUUUUUCAACCGUGAACAUAGAUUAUUAAUACCGAACAACUUUCGUGAUCUUUUAUUUCAUUUCCGCUAUGAGUACUAUUGGAUAUUUCAUAUUUGCAUCUGAUAUAAUUUGUCAAUGUCAUCCAUUGCUUUUAGAAAAAAAGCUUUUAUAAUUAAUGUUUAAGAUGGAAAUCACUAGAAGUACAUUGCAAUAAUGGUCAGAGUACACAAUGCUGCAUUGAUUAAUGACACUGAGCUUUCUUUCAACAGGUUGCAGCCUCGUGAAAAAAGGAUAUGAUGGACUGCAAAGGGGUCUUUUUGGUUGGUUUCUUGCUCGUGAAGCUGUUCUUGUAAGAUUACAAGACAGUUGCAGGCAGAAGCUCAUUGGGAACCUCUAUCAUACAUGUGUACUAUCAUGACGCUCCUCCAACCUCUCAAGAUAACAUUGAUGAACUCGAUCAAAGAGGUGUAUGGAUUACAUAGCGAGGGAUCAACUCAAAGAAUAGAUGAUGAAUGAGUUUCUACCACAGUCCCUUCUUUGACGUACAUAUACAUUUAAGAUUUGAAUAUCAAUUUUUGGAUUUGGAUAUUGACAUCAUGUGGAUGUGGCUUAGGCUAAAUUUGAUCUUGUUUAUGAUUUAGAAUAAUAUUACUAAGUAUAUAGUAGUUUUUGGAAGUUUAGAAUUAUGAAUAUUAGAAUUAUUCUGUGAUACAAAGAAUUUCAGAAGUUUGGAAUGUCAUAUUCAAUUUAUUGAUUAUAAGAUUUUAUGGGUUGAGUAUUAAUU